rnacentral:rRNA from 1 species
UACAGAGGUCUCAAGCGUUGUUCGGAUUCAUUGGGCGUAAAGGGUGCGUAGGCGGCGCGGUAAGUCGGGUGUGAAAUCUCGGAGCUUAACUCCGAAACUGCAUUCGAUACUGCCGUGCUUGAGGACUGGAGAGGAGACUGGAAUUUACGGUGUAGCGGUGAAAUGCGUAGAUAUCUGGAGGAAGACCAGUGGCGAAGGCGGGUCUCUGGACAGUUCCUGACACUGAGGCACGAAGGCCAGGGGAGCAAACGGG